AGGGAGUAAAGUUAAUACCUUUGCUCAUUGACGUUACCCGCAGAAGAAGCACCGGCUAACUCCGUGCCAGCAGCCGCGGUAAUACGGAGGGUGCAAGCGUUAAUCGGAAUUACUGGGCGUAAAGCGCACGCAGGCGGUUUGUUAAGUCAGAUGUGAAAUCCCCGGGCUCAACCUGGGAACUGCAUCUGAUACUGGCAAGCUUGAGUCUCGUAGAGGGGGGUAGAAUUCCAGGUGUAGCGGUGAAAUGCGUAGAGAUCUGGAGGAAUACCGGUGGCGAAGGCGGCCCCCUGGACGAAGACUGACGCUCAGGUGCGAAAGCGUGGGGAGCAAACAGGAUUAGAUACCCUGGUAGUCCACGCCGUAAACGAUGUCGACUUGGAGGUUGUGCCCUUGAGGCGUGGCUUCCGGAGCUAACGCGUUAAGUCGACCGCCUGGGGAGUACGGCCGCAAGGUUAAAACUCAAAUGAAUUGACGGGGGCCCGCACAAGCGGUGGAGCAUGUGGUUUAAUUCGAUGCAACGCGAAGAACCUUACCUGGUCUUGACAUCCACGGAAGUUUUCAGAGAUGAGAAUGUGCCUUCGGGAACCGUGAGACAGGUGCUGCAUGGCUGUCGUCAGCUCGUGUUGUGAAAUGUUGGGUUAAGUCCCGCAACGAGCGCAACCCUUAUCCUUUGUUGCCAGCGGUCCGGCCGGGAACUCAAAGGAGACUGCCAGUGAUAAACUGGAGGAAGGUGGGGACGACGUCAAGUCAUCAUGGCCCUUACGACCAGGGCUACACACGUGCUACAAUGGCGCAUACAAAGAGAAGCGACCUCGCGAGAGCAAGCGGACCUCAUAAAGUGCGUCGUAGUCCGGAUUGGAGUCUGCAACUCGACUCCAUGAAGUCGGAAUCGCUAGUAAUCGUGGAUCAGAAUGCCACGGUGAAUACGUUCCCGGGCCUUGUACACACCGCCCGUCACACCAUGGGAGUGGGUUGCAAAAGAAGUAGGUAGCUUAACCUUCGGGAGGGCGCUUACCACUUUGUGAUUCAUGACUGGGGUGAAGUCGUAACAAGGUAACCGUAGGGGAACCUGCGGUUGGAUCACCUCCUUACCUUAAAGAAGC
rnacentral:rRNA from 1 species